rnacentral:ncRNA from 1 species
GAGUUUGAUCCUGGCUCAGGAUGAACGCUGGCGGCGUGGAUAAGGCAUGCAAGUCAAACGCCCAGCCCCUCUUUUGAUUUUAUUUUAAGUGUGAUAAUUAUGUUCUAUGUAUUUUGUCUACAUUAUUCAAUAUAGUGAAACUAAACAGAUAUACAUAGGUUCUACGAAUAAUUUAAGACAUAGAUUGAUAGAACAUAAUUCUCACAACACAAAAUCUACUCACAGAACUUCAGGUGAGUGGAGUUUAAGGUAUGCUGAAAUUUAUAUUGAUAAACAAAAUGCUUUAGAUCGUGAAUAUAAGUUGAAGUAUCAUGGAAGUGCUAAGCAAAAAUUGCUAAAAAGAAUUGAGAAAAGUUUAUUAUGAAAUCAAAAGUGGGGCUGGGAGUGGCGAACGAGUUAGUAACACCUUGGUACGUACCCGGAAGUCGGGGAUAACUAGUCGAAAGAUUAGCUAAUAUCCGAUGGCGAAGCGAUUCUAAAGACGCAAGUCGCUUCCGGAGCGGCCUAGGUCCUAUCAGCUUGUUGGCGGGGUAACGGCCCACCAAGGCUACGACGGGUAGGGGAUGUGAGAGCAUGAUCCCCAACGACGGUACUGAGACACGGACCGUACAUCUACGGAUGGCAGCAGUCAAGAACAUUCGACAAUGGGCGAAAGCCUGAUCGAGCGACGCCGCGUGCAGGAAGAAGGGCUUCGGCCUGUAAACUGCUUUUGCCAUGGAAAAAAUAGCCCCCUCACUCAGGGAUUUUGUUAGUCUUGACGACGCGAAUUUUAGUCGUAUUCGCGGCGCGAGAAGCGAUGUGU